GUUCUCUGCUGCAUAUUCGUCUUCUAUACCAUUGCCUUGUUUUUUUAAUAACUCUAGUUACGUCUUUUGCAUAUAUCAUAAGUUCAUGAUGUGGGUUGAGUUUUGUGAGUUUGAAACUGGAAUGUAUGGUCUUUUUUGGUUCUUGCUUCUAGUGCUCCACAACUUUAUUAUUCCGUGUGGAUGGUUUAACUUCCUUUCUGCUAACUGUUAAACUGGUUUGCUAAUUUUACUCUAUUCAUGUUAUUAAUGUAUUCUAUGGAACAAAAUAUUUCUGUGGCGUACUUGUUUGUGUUUUUUGGAAUAUCCUUGAAGGAUCUUGGAUCGUCUUCAGUUACCGCAUACCAGAAUCUCUCUUCGGCAUCCAGCUGCAAACCUUGAAGGCCACAAUAUCAAACUUUAAGGGGCGGCACAGUGUUAAGCGCCUGAGAGGUUUCAGGUUCGAAUCCAUAGUUCACUAGUUUCUUGUCUCAACCCCUAGAAGGCUACUUGCGCGGUGGAAACUACGCUAUACCUGGUUAGAAUGAAAGAACUUUGUGGCUUACAAGAGCAAACUUUGCACCUAUAUGGAUUAGGAGUGUUUGGUACAAGUUUUGAAGUUCUGUUCAAAUGAUUUUAAGCUGAUCUCAGUGCUGGAACUGGAGGUCUGAAUGUUGUUGAAGUAAGGUUUGAUCUGGUCAAAAGAUUCUCCUGAAGAAACAGUUGAGAACAAGCUUAUUACCACAUUCUUUUUGUGGCAAAGCUUUGUUUAGUUACAUGCAAGGUCGUUGUAAAAAGUAGAAAUUCAUGACAUUGGUAGUUUAUUGUUGUGUUUAUAAUUUAGGAUAUGAAAGAAAAACCUUUAAAAAUAGUACCUAAAACUUUUGAUUUGAAAAACAUAUAUUCGUUGAAAAUAUGAGUCCAGUAAUGA
rnacentral:lncRNA from 1 species